AAAUCAGUAGUUCUCAACCUUUCCAGACUAUCAUACCCCUUUCAGAAGUAUGAUUUAUCUUGCGUACGCCCAAGUUUCACCUCACUUAAACUACUUGCUUACAAAAUCAGACAAACAUACAAAAAAGCUUGCUUUCUCUUUUUUACCAUACAA